GAUGAACGCUAGCGACAGGCCUAACACAUGCAAGUCGAGGGGCAGCGCGGGAGAAGCUUGCUUUUCCCGGCGGCGACCGGCGCACGGGUGCGUAACAGGUGUGCAAUCUGUCCUAUACCAGAGCAUAGCCCAGCGAAAGUUGGAUUAAUUCUCUAUGUGAGCCGAGAGGGCAUCCUUUUGGUUUGAAACGUGAGGGUAUAGGGUGAGCACGCUUCUGAUUAGCUAGUUGGUGAGGUAACGGCUCACCAAGGCGACGAUCAGUAGGGGUUCUGAGAGGAAGGUCCCCCACAUUGGAACUGAGACACGGUCCAA
rnacentral:rRNA from 1 species